CGCACAUUGCGCCCAUUAGUAUUCUAGUGGGCAUGCCUGUUCGAGCGUCAUUUCAACCCUUAAGCCUCGCCGCUUAGCAUUGGGAGAUUACCAGCCGUAACUCCUCAAAGACAGCUGGCAGGGUCGUGGUUUAUCCUGAGCGUAGUAAUUUAUCCUCGCUUCUGGUGUCCUGCGGCCCUCGCCACUAAACUCUAUUAUCUAAUGGUUGACCUCGGAUCAGGUAGGAAUACCCGCUGAACUUAA
rnacentral:misc_RNA from 1 species